rnacentral:tRNA from 1 species
UAGCCUAGUGGUGAAGGCUUUGGAUCGCCAAUCCGGAGACGGCGGGUUCGAUUCCCAU